UGGGCAACCUGCCCCUCUCUCUGGGAUAACCCCCGGGAAACCGGAGCUAAUACCGGAUACUCCGGCUGGAUCGCAUGGUCUAGCCGGGAAAGGUCCGCCGGAGAGGGAUGGGCCCGCGGCCUAUCAGCUUGUUGGUGAGGUAACGGCUCACCAAGGCUACGACGGGUAGCUGGUCUGAGAGGAUGGCCAGCCACAUUGGGACUGAGACACGGCCCAGACUCCUACGGGAGGCA
rnacentral:rRNA from 1 species